rnacentral:rRNA from 1 species
GACGAACCGAGCGAACGUUGUUCGGAAUCACUGGGCUUAAAGGGCGCGUAGGCGGGUGCUCAAGUCCGGGGUGAAAUCCUCCAGCUCAACUGGAGAACUGCCUCGGAUACUGUGUGUCUCGAGGGUGGUAGGGGUAUGCGGAACUAUCGGUGGAGCGGUGAAAUGCGUUGAUAUCGAUAGGAACUCCGGUGGCGAAGGCGGCAUACUGGACCACAUCUGACGCUGAGGCGCGAAAGCCAGGGGAGCAAGCGGG